UACGGAGGGGGCGAGCGUUAUUCGGAAUCAUUGGGCGUAAAGGGCGCGUAGGCGGCCCGGUAAGUCAAAGGUGAAAUCCCUCGGCUCAACUGAGGAACUGCCUUUGAAACUGUCGGGCUUGAGGCCGGGAGGGGGUGGCGGAAUUCCCAGUGUAGCGGUGAAAUGCGUAGAUAUUGGGAGGAACACCAGUGGCGAAGGCGGCAUCCUGGACCAACACUGACACUGAGGAGCGAAAGCCAGGGGAGCAAACGGG
rnacentral:rRNA from 1 species